GGGCGCAGCGCAGUGGUAGCGCGUCCGCUUUGCAAGCGGAAGGCGCCGCGUUCAAUCCCCGGUGUGUCCA
rnacentral:tRNA from 1 species